rnacentral:ncRNA from 1 species
AUGCUGGUUGAUGCCUGCCAGUAGUCAUAUGCUUGUCUCAAAGAUUAAGCCAUGCAUGUCUAAGUACAAACCUUAAUACGGUGAAACCGGCGAUGGCUCAUUAAAUCAGCUAUGGUUCCUUAGAUCGGUCUCAUCCUACUCGGAUAACUGUGGAAAAUCUAGAAGCUAAUACGUGCUUACAAGCCCUGACCUCACGGGAGGGGCGACAUUUAUUAGAUCAAAACCAAAUCGGGGCUUGCCGCCGUCUGCUUGGUGACUCUGGAUAACAUUUUGUGCUGAUCGCAUCAUGGCCUCUGCGCGCUGCGACGUAUCUUUCAAGUGUCUGCCCCUAUUCAACACAUUACGAUGGUAGGUGGAUAUGCCUACCAUGGUUAUGAACGGGUAACGGGGAAUGUCAGGGUUCGAUUCCGGAGAGGGAGCGCUCUGAGAAACGGCUACCACAUCUAAGGAAGGAGCAGAGCGGCGCGGCAAAUUAGCGCCAGCAUCCCGCACGGGGAGGUAAGUGACGAAAAAUAAAGAUACGGGACCUUUUGAGGCCGCCGUAAUUGAAUGAGCUACAGCUUUAAAUCCGGUUUAACAAGUAUCUAUUAGGAGGAAGUCUGGUGCCGAGCAGCAGCCGCGGUAAUUCCAGCUCCACAAAUAGCGUAUAUUAAUGUUGCUGCAGUUAAAAAAGCUCGUAGUUGGAUCUGGAGGACUCGAAUUGGUGGGCACGGCAUACGGUGUGUUAACUGCCGAUUCGGCCUACCUAGUCGGUGCUCGCUUCUUGGUGUCUUUAAAUUGAAUGCCCUGCGUGCCCGGCAAGUUUAUUUGAAAAUAAUUAGAGUGCUCAAGCAGCCAUUAGCGCGGAAUACUUGCAGCAUGGAAUAAUGGAAUAGGACUUCGGUUCUAUUUUGUUGGUUUUCGGAAACCCGAGGUAAAUGAUUAAGAGAGUACGAUGACGGGGGCAU